UUUGUAUUAGGUAAAUGUUAUGAAAAUAUGUGACGAAUCUAUAUACGCAUUCAAGUUUGUGAAGACGUUUCAGUGAAGGAAUAAGGACAAGAAAAAAUUGAUUUUAACUAGCCUAACUGACUAAUGCAUUUAACAAUCAUUUUAACCUUGCUGGCUUUAUUUUGGACAUCAACAAUAUCAGCAACAAAACACUUGCAAUGUUUUGAGUGCAGUGGGGGAGGACCACUCGAUAAAUUUGUUUUAUAUAGAGACACCUGCGAAGGUGGUUCUUUCUAUUCAAAUUAUCCAAAACAAAUCAACUGUGAUCAUGCUUGUAUGAAAUAUAUUGCACGAACGAUUAGUUCAAACACCAUUAUAUACAAGCGAGGCUGUGAGAACAACAAGACGAAGGUCGCCGGUUGUAUGCAAGAAUUUUUUAACUUUAAUGAUACGAUUAUAAUGUGCUAUUGUUUUGAAGAACUAUGCAACAUAGCCGGCUUGUUGAACGGUCCUAAAGCAUUAGCAGGAUUCGUCUUCAGUAUUAUUGCUAUUUUGGCCAAUUAAAGUUGUUAUCACUACUCUGAAAUACUUUA